rnacentral:rRNA from 1 species
GGGCGCAAGCCUGAUGCAGCCAUGCCGCGUGUAUGAAGAAGGCCUUCGGGUUGUAAAGUACUUUCAGCGGGGAGGAAGGCGAUGAGGUUAAUAACCUUAUCNAUUGACGUUACCCGCAGAAGAAGCACCGGCUAACUCCGUGCCAGCAGCCGCGGUAAUACGGAGGGUGCAAGCGUUAAUCGGAAUUACUGGGCGUAAAGCGCACGCAGGCGGUCUGUCAAGUCGGAUGUGAAAUCCCCGGGCUCAACCUGGGAACUGCAUUCGAAACUGGCAGGCUAGAGUCUUGUAGAGGGGGGUAGAAUUCCAGGUGUAGCGGUGAAAUGCGUAGAGAUCUGGAGGAAUACCGGUGGCGAAGGCGGCCCCCUGGACAAAGACUGACGCUCAGGUGCGAAAGCGUCUGGAGCAAACAGGAUUAGAUACCCUGGUAGUCCACGCCGUAAACGAUGUCCGACUUGGAGGUUGUGCCCUUGAGGAGUGGCUUCCGGAGCUAACGCGUUAAGUCAACCGCCUGGGGAGUACGGCCGCAAGGUUCAAACU